CAGAAAGACGCACAGGGACCCCUUGGAGGA
rnacentral:piRNA from 1 species